AGAGUUUGAUCAUGGCUCAGGACGAACGCUGGCGGCGUGCUUAACACAUGCAAGUCGAGCGGAAAGGCCCUUCGGGGUACUCGAGCGGCGAACGGGUGAGUAACACGUGAGCAACCUGCCCCUGGCUCUGGGAUAGCUCCGGGAAACCGGGAUUAAUACCGGAUAUGACUGCUGACUGCAUGGUCGGCGGUGGAAAGUUU
rnacentral:rRNA from 1 species